UACGAAGGGUGCAAACGUUGCUCGGAAUUAUUGGGCGUAAAGCGCACGUAGGCGGUAUUGCAAGUCGGAUGUGAAAUCCCUCGGCUCAACCAAGGAAGUGCAUCCGAAACUGCCGUACUUGAGUACUUAAGAGGAUCGUGGAAUUCCAGGUGUAGCGGUGAAAUGCGUAGAUAUCUGGAGGAACACCGGUGGCGAAGGCGACAUCCUGGACCGGCAUUGACGCUGAGGCGCGAAAGCCAGGGGAGCAAACGGG
rnacentral:rRNA from 1 species